rnacentral:rRNA from 1 species
CCUACGGGAGGCAGCAGUGAGGAAUAUUGGACAAUGGAUGGAAAUCUGAUCCAGCCAUGCCGCGUGCAGGAAGACGGCCCUAUGGGUUGUAAACUGCUUUUAUAUGGGAGCAAUAAGGUUUACGAGUAGACCGAUGAGAGUACCAUAUGAAUAAGCAUCGGCUAACUCCGUGCCAGCAGCCGCGGUAAUACGUAGGGAGCGAGCGUUGUCCGGAAUUACUGGGUGUAAAGGGAGCGUAGGCGGGAUUGCAAGUCAGAUGUGAAAUGCAGGGGCUCAACCCCUGAGCUGCAUUUGAAACUGUAGUUCUUGAGUGAAGUAGAGGUAAGCGGAAUUCCUGGUGUAGCGGUGAAAUGCGUAGAUAUCAGGAGGAACAUCGGUGGCGAAGGCGGCUUACUGGGCUUUUACUGACGCUGAGGCUCGAAAGCGUGGGGAGCAAACAGGAUUAGAUACCCUGGUAGUCCACGCUGUAAACGAUGAUUACUAGGUGUGGGGGGACUGACCCCUUCCGUGCCGCAGUUAACACAAUAAGUAUCCCACCUGGGGAGUACGACCGCAAGGUUGAAACUCAAAUGAAUUGACGGGGA